GGCAGAAGAAUCGCUUGAACCCCGGGAGGCGGAGGUUACAAUCUGUUUCUUAGAAGUGGACACGUGAACUCUUACACAGAUCAAGAGGAGCAGCUCUGUAAAUAUUUCCCUGAGUUUUUUCAGCCUGCGCCCAGAAAUGAACAAGGACAGCUUGGAGGUUAGAGGCAAGAUGGAGUCGUUUAAGUUGGACCUCUUUCACUGUCUCAGUCAUAAUUUUGCAAAGGCGGUUUCAGUUGCAGACAAAAGGAUCCGCAGGCUCCAGUGACUGUCUGCAUGGCGGGAGAAAACACAAGAGACUGCGUGGCAAACGUGAAUCCUCAGUUCUGCAAAACCGCGCAGGGGAGAGAAAAAGCCGCCCACGAAUUGAACUGUCUGCACCGC
rnacentral:lncRNA from 1 species